AACGAACGCUGGCGGCAGGCCUAACACAUGCAAGUCGAGCGAGGACUUCGGUUCUAGCGGCGGACGGGUGAGUAACGCGUGGGAAUGUGCCCUUCUCUACGGAAUAGCCCUGGGAAACUGGGAGUAAUACCGUAUACGCCCUAUUGGGGAAAGAUUUAUCGGAGAAGGAUCAGCCCGCGUUGGAUUAGGUAGUUGGUGGGGUAAUGCCCUACCAAGCCGACGAUCCAUAGCUGGUUUGAGAGGAUGAUCAGCCACACUGGGACUGAGACACGGCCCAGACUCCUACGGGAGGCAGCAGUGGGGAAUCUUAGACAAUGGGGGCAACCCUGAUCUAGCCAUGCCGCGUGAGUGAUGAAGGCCUUAGGGUUGUAAAGCUCUUUCAGCUGGGAAGAUAAUGACGGUACCAGCAGAAGAAGCCCCGGCUAACUCCGUG
rnacentral:rRNA from 1 species